rnacentral:misc_RNA from 1 species
AUCCUGUUUCUUUCUUCAUCUUACCAUCGUUGCAAAACACGCACUUUGUCCCACCAUUCCCAGCACACCUAUCACAAGGAACUGGAUCUCCCUUGAGGCCAAGAAAGAGGGAGAGAGCAAUGGCAGUUAAAACACUGAUAGUGGCAAGAAAAGUUUGAGUAUCCAAAGGGGGUGAAUCAAAACCAACAAAGAGCAAAAUGGGAUGAUGAUGAUUUGUGGGGAAAGGGAAAAAUUGGUGAAAUUGGGAAAAACAUGAUGUUGACAAGACUGGGAAUUCAAGCUUUGUUGGAAAAGAAGGGCAGCAAGUAAAAGGGCAUAAGGAUGAACAAAUUGUUGUAGAAGAAGAGAGAGAAUGGAAGGGAUAGAGUGAGGAGUGAGAGAGUAUUGUUGCCAUUGGAAGUUAAUUUGUGGAGCUCAGA